UACCGAGGUCCCGAGCGUUGUCCGGAAUUACUGGGCGUAAAGAGCUCGUAGGUGGUUUGUCGCGUUGUUCGUGAAAACUCACAACUCAAUUGUGGGCGUGCGGGCGAUACGGGCAGACUGGAGUACUGCAGGGGAGACUGGAAUUCCUGGUGUAGCGGUGGAAUGCGCAGAUAUCAGGAGGAACACCGGUGGCGAAGGCGGGUCUCUGGGCAGUAACUGACGCUGAGGAGCGAAAGCGUGGGGAGCGAACAGG
rnacentral:rRNA from 1 species